UUUUCAUGGUAUCGGAGCAGGAAAAUCUUCCGAUCCUUCUCUGUUAAGUGUUAUCGAUACUUGAUGAAACUUUUACUGAAGUUUUUCUUCGGUUAUCUGAGAAAAAUACUGUUCGUAUAUUUUUUCCGAUAUAUGUUAAUCGGUUAAUCGGGACUUUUCUGACUGUUUGAGACUUCGAUCUUGUUUCAGUAGAUGUUUUGGGUGAUUUUCCAACAUCUCUGAUUUUUUUUCGACGAGUUCUUCAAAUUCUAGGAUUUUUCGACUUCCGGACCUAGAGUUUUGGUGUUAUCCGAUGACUUUCUCUUCGCCUGAUGCACGUUUUGGCUAACUUUCCGGCGUCUGUGCCCUUAUUCCGGUGAGUUUCAGAACCUAGGGUUUCCGGUGUUGGACCUAGGGUUUUCUCUGUUGAUUGAAGGCCGAUCUUCUCCGGUCGCGAAGAAGGAGGGUAACUCUGUCCUUAUUUUGAGUAUUAUAUGCUUUGCAUGUGACUAUUUGGUUCCGUAUGUGAGUAUUUGGUUCCGUUACAUUUUGCUUGUCGAAAUUGUUUUUCUUUCAAGAUGGUUCAUUAAUCAUGGCUUCUAAUACCAAUGCUGGUACCUCCUCCUCGGUAGACUCUACCAGCCCCCUCUUUGUAUAUUCCUCUGAUGUCCCUGGGGUCUCUCUUGUCCCCAC
rnacentral:lncRNA from 1 species